GAGGAACCAGACUAGAUGGAGCAAGCCACAUUGGACCAGAGAUGAGACAUUGCAGAAAUCCAAAGCAAUGAAGAGUCUGAGGCUUGGCUAGUGUGCCCGACCCCUCCCCAUGACCUUGUGCUGGUGACUUUCACACAAGCUGGAGUGACCGGAGAAAAGGAAGACUCAGUUAAGAAAAUGCGGCCAUCAGAUAGUUCCCGCCCCUGGGUUCCUACCUUGACUUUCUGUUCUGGCAUCCCUUCAUGAUGGACUAUAGACUGUUAAGGUAAAAUAAAUCCUUUCCUCCACAAGUUGAUUUGGGUCAUG